AUUGAACGCUGGCGGCAUGCUUUACACAUGCAAGUCGGACGAGUGGCGAACGGGUGAGUAACGCAUCGGAACGUACCGAGUAAUGGGGGAUAACUGUCCGAAAGGACAGCUAAUACCGCAUAUUAUUCGAGCGGCCGAUGUCUGAUUAGCUGGUUGGCGGGGUAAAGGCCCACCAAGGCGACGAUCAGUAGCGGGUCUGAGAGGAUGAUCCGCCACACUGGGACUGGGACACGGCCCAGACUCCUACGGGAGGCAGGAGGGGGGAAUUUUGGACAAUGGGCGCAAGCCUGAUCCAGCCAUGCCGCGUGUCUGAAGAAGGCCUUCGGGUUGUAAAGGACUUUUGUCAGGGAAGAUGUACCCUACGAAUAAGCAUCGGCUAACUCCGUGCCAGCAGCCGCGGUAAUUC
rnacentral:rRNA from 1 species